rnacentral:rRNA from 1 species
CGCGCAGGCGGCUAGAUUUGUCAGGCGUGAAAGCCCCGGGCUCAACCUGGGAAUGGCGCUUGGGACGGUUUGGCUAGAGAUCGGGAGAGGAGCGUGGAAUUCCCAGUGUAGAGGUGAAAUUCGUAGAUAUUGGGAAGAACACCGGUGGCGAAGGCGGCGCUCUGGACCGAGACUGACGCUGAGGCGCGAAAGCGUGGGGAGCAAACAGGAUUAGAUACCCUGGUAGUCCACGCUGUAAACGAUGUGUGCUAGACGUUGGGGAGCCUAGCUCUUCGGUGUCGCAGCUAACGCGGUAAGCACACCGCCUGGGGAGUACGGCCGCAAGGUUAAA